rnacentral:rRNA from 1 species
AUUGAACGCUGGCGGCGUGCCUAACACAUGCAAGUCGAGCGGUAACAGGUGUAGCAAUACAUGCUGACGAGCGGCGGACGGGUGAGUAACGCUUGGGAAUCUGCCUGUUAGUGGGGGACAACCCGGGGAAACUCGGGCUAAUACCGCAUACGCACUACGGUGGAAAGCCGGGGACCGCAAGGCCUGGCGCUAACAGAUGAGCCCAAGUCGGAUUAGCUAGUUGGUAGGGUAAUGGCCUACCAAGGCGACGAUCGGUAGCUGGUCUGAGAGGACGACCAGCCACACUGGGACUGAGACACGGCCCAGACUCCUACGGGAGGCAGCAGUGGGGAAUAUUGGACAAUGGGCGCAAGCCUGAUCCAGCGAUGCCGCGUGUGUGAAGAAGGCCUGCGGGUUGUAAAGCACUUUCAGUAGGGAAGAAAAGCGGGUGCUAAUAUCACUCGGUCUUGACGUUACUUACAGAAGAAGC